GCCCAUUAGUGGCUCAAUGGGUCAGUGUGUGUGGCUAUUCACCAGAAGGUUGGUGGUUCGAGCCCACCCAGGGGCA
rnacentral:tRNA from 1 species